rnacentral:misc_RNA from 1 species
GUGGAAGGGCGGACGGAUGAAUAGAAGAACAUUGCGCAAAUGUAUGAUUGUAGAAGCGAAAGAAUUGACGGAAGGUAAACUAUUAGAAUUUAACAAAAUUUGCAAAUACGAAUGUUUUAUUAGUGGAAAGAAAAUUGUUUCUGAUCUCUCAUGACUAAUUUUUCCUGCUGUAAAAACCGAUCUGCUUAGCAUUUAUCUUAUCACUCACUUUACACAAUUUUGAACUCGUUCUUUAAAUAGGAUCAAGUUCAAACCCUUUUAAAGGCGAAACACAUGUGCCAAGGACAAUAUUGUAUUAAAUUUCUUUUUAUUAUAAUUCGCCUUAUAGACCCUAUUUUUUAUUUGAAUGCUUAUUAUUACAGUAUGUGGCCGCAUUUGCCGUUUCUGCCCUAUCGUCUAAUCACGAACGUUUAGCAAAACCGUUCAAUCCUCUAUUAGGAGAAACCUACGAGUUAGUUAGACCUGGUGUUCGCCUCACUGCCGAGCAAGUUUCCCAUCAUCCCCCUGUAUCUGCGUUUCACGCCGAAUCCGAAAAUUACUCGUUUUGCGGUUCUAUUCACCCAAAAAUGAAAUUUUGGGGAAAGAGUGUGGAAAUUACUCCAAAGGGGAAUGUAAUUCUUCACUUGAAAAAAUGGAACGAAACAUACACUUGGAGCAAUGUCGUCUGUUCUAUUCAUAACAUAAUCAUUGGAAAAAUGUGGAUUGAACACUACGGUAAAAUGGAUAUAAAAUGUAUCCAAACGGGAUGGGAGACUAUUCUGAAUUUUCACUCUUGCGGUUGGAGGAGCCACAGACAACACGAGGUUGAUGGAUACGUUCUGAGUGAAGAUAAAGAAAAGAUGAAAUAUUUCAUCGGACGAUGGAUAGAUAACCUAUAUAGUUAUGAUGUCACUGCAAAUAUGGAUAAUAUUAAGUAUGAAGACGCCUUGCAAAAUCAACUACCAAAUCAACGUCUUCUAUGGUCGGCGAACAAAAGAUCUGAUCAAAGUCAUGAAUAUUACAAUUUUUCAAAUUUUGCUAUUACUCUUAAUGAAAUGGGAGAAGGUUUUAAAUCUUUGCCGCCUACUGACUCCAGACUAAGGCCAGAUAUUAGGAAAUUGGAAGAGGGAGAUGUUGAUGGCGCUGGCGAAGAAAAGCACAGAGUCGAAGAGAAGCAGAGAGAGUCGAGAAGACAUAGAAAAAAAGAUAAGAACGACUGGUGUCAACGAUGGUUUAAACUUGAUAAACAUCCUGCCACCGGACAGAAUGAAUGGAUUUUUGAUCAGAGUUACUGGAAGAGGGAUUGGACUAAUUGUCCAGAUAUAUUUUAAUCUUAUCAUGAAGCCUUUCUAUGAAAAUUUUUAUGACGAUGCUAUUUUCACUUUUAUCCUUAGUUUAUUUACCAAAUGUCGUCGUUUUCUCAACAUAUUCCAAACCAAGCAUGGAUACGUUCAUACAAAGAAUAGAUAUAAUUUAUAAAUGAAUGCAUACAAUCCAACAUACCUACCUACAAACAGACAUACAUACAUUCAUAUACGUAAGCAAAUAAUUUCCAAAAAAGAAAUGCAGCUAAAAAUGCAAAGACUUUUGUCUUUUUCUGUUUACAAUAAAAGGCAAAAGGAAAGUUUAAAACCAGCAAACAUUUUUUUUAUGUAUAGAUAGUUAUGAAUAUGAAUAUAUUUAUUCAUAUAUUCACUAUUCUAUAUGUUCAUGCAGACUAUGUGAUAAAUUAUCCAUUUAAUUAUUACUAUAGAAUAAAUUAUUAAAUUUAAAUCUAUUAUCUUCUGUAUAAAGA